CGAGUUUUGUUUCAUCUCGACAAAAAUGGACAGACGCAUGAUUAUAGAGGAACAGUUCCUGCAAGAAAAAGACGAAAAUGCAUCAAGCAGUUCUGCCAGUGAGUCAGAAUCUGAUUCAGAAGGAAAGUCAGAGAAAGAAAAAGAAGGUGUUGCUGUCAGUGCAGAAGCAGUGAAUGGCAGCGAACAUCGUCGCCAUGGUAAGAAACAUCGUAAACACAGGCACCACCAUCAUCGUAGGAAGCAUCGUAAGCACGCCACUGAGGGAGAUGAAAGACGACAUCGCCAUAAACAUAAGCACAAAAAGUCAUCACGCAGCAGCAGCAGCACACGACGGGAUCGUAGUGGAAAGGAACGUAAAUCAGAGGUCAGUGUAGUUCCAUACACUGAGUGUGAUGACGAGGAAGAUGAAGGGGAGGUUAUGGUUGGCUUGGCUGACCUGGAGAAACAGAAAGAACUUCUGCAGGCAGAACUUUUAAAUGAUCUUGGACUGGCAAAUGAAGAAGAGCUCAAACAGGCAUCAGGUAUGUCCAUUAUUGCCAAAGGCUAUUUGUCCUCUGAUGAAGAGGGUCAGGUAUCGGAAGAAGACGCCAAGAAACCAAAACUACCUGAAUCAGAUGAUGAUGACGUCAUCUUUAUGGGAGAGAUUCAGGGAAACUCUAAGAAACAUUCAAAUCGCGGCAUGCGUUCAAAGUCACCUGAGAGAGGUCGUUCUCGAAAUACAAAUGACAGACCUAGAGACUCUAGAAGAAGAAGCAUCAGCAGUGAACGCCAAACAAGGAAAAAACGAAAGAGUGUAUCUCCGAGUACUCCACCAAAGAGACAUAAAGACAGAACAGACGCUGCAUCUGAACUGGCUGAUCGUAAGAGAAUGGAACAUUCCUCAAGCAAACAGAGUCACAAGAGAUCACGCAGUAAAUCUCGGGAAAGGAAGAGGAGAGUUUCUCCUGUUGAUGUUGAUGAGUUAUCCUCAAAACACGGCAGAAGCAAGUCACCAAAAAGACGAAGGAGUCUGUCACCAAAAGUUUCCCCGCGUCGUAAAAGCCGUAGUCGGUCACCUAAGAGAAAGCAAAAACUUGUAAUAACACUGGAGAGUCUUCGACAACACAGUCCUCGGAGGUCACCCUCACCGCGACGCAAUCAAGGGCAAAGUAAAUCGCCCCAUCGUAGUUCAGCAGACCUCCAUCAAAGCAGGUCACCCCCCAUGCGACGUUCACCUGUCCGUCCUCGAUCACCGACGAGAGAAGAACUGGCUGAGAGACGUCGCAUGAGGUCUCGAUCUCCUCCUGAUUACAGACGACGAGAUCGACCAACGUGGCGAGACCGCGAGAGGGAGAGGGGCCAUGAUCGAGACAGGAGAAGAGGUAGAGGAAAUCGAACCCCAGAUGAUAAAUUCAAGGGGAGUCUUUCUGAAGGAUUGACAGCGAAUAAAUAUUCCUCUGAGGAAGAGUUAGAAGAUGUUGAUUUACAGGAAGAAGAGGAUGAAGAAGCAGUUAUUGAGAGAAGACGAAGACAGCGCCAGGAACUAUUACAGAAACUUAAAGCCCCAGUUGCCCCAACAGCAUUUGAGCUAGGGUUUUCUACUCCGGAACAGUCAGUAAACUCGGGUGUUAAUACCCCAGGAAGCCAAGACAAUAGCAGUGAGUCAUCAUCAUCAUCAGACAGCGAACAAGAUGAAAAUGAUAAAGAAGAACAAAAGGAAACGGAUGACAAAGAUGAGCAAACAGAAAAUAAUGAGACUGCAGAGACGGCAAGCAUUCCUUUUCUAGAAGGGGGAUCUGGAGACAAUCUCAUUCCACAAGAAGAAUCUGAGAAGAUUACUGAUGAGCACAAAAAGACAGUCCAAGAUGUGACAAGUAAUGAAGCUGCAGAUAUCGUGGCCCAAACGCCUGCCAUUGCAGAAGUUAAGGCAGUUUCUCACAAUGGCAUGGACAUGUUCAGUGAAGGCAGCAACUAUGAUAGUCCAACUGCUGUAGAGAAGCUUGACCAAUCAGCUCAUGAGAACCCGAGUCUGACUGAUAAUUGGGAUGACGCUGAAGGCUACUAUCGUGUACGUGUUGGUGAGCUGCUUGAUAAGCGUUACAGUGUGUAUGGCUACACAGGUCAAGGUGUAUUCAGUAACGUCAUUCGGGCUAGAGACUGUGCUAGGACUCAACAAGAUGUAGCUAUCAAGAUCAUCAGGAACAAUGAACUCAUGCACAAGACUGGUCUGAAGGAGCUUGAGUAUCUGAAGAGACUUAAUGAUACAGACAGAGAGGAUAAAUUCCAUUGUGUUCGUCUCUUCAGGCAUUUCUUUCAUAGGAACCAUCUCUGCCUUGUAUUUGAACCUCUCAGCAUGAAUUUAAGAGAAGUCUUAAAGCGUUAUGGCAAAGACGUAGGUCUACACAUUAAGGCUGUACGCUCCUACACCUCCCAGCUCUUCUUGGCUCUUAAACUCCUCAAGAGAUGUAACAUACUCCAUGCAGACAUCAAACCGGAUAAUAUUCUGGUGAAUGAGUCUAAGACCAUCCUAAAGCUCUGUGAUUAUGGGUCAGCUUGUCAUGUGGGUGACACUGAUAUUACUCCAUACCUUGUCAGCAGAUUCUACAGAUCACCAGAAAUCAUAAUUGGCAUGACCUAUGACUAUGCCAUUGACCUAUGGAGCACAGCGUGUUCAAUCUAUGAGCUGUACUCUGGUAAGAUACUCUUUCCAGGCAAAUCUAAUAACCACAUGCUCAAGUGUAUGAUGGACCUCAAAGGAAAGAUGCCCAAUAGGAUGAUCAAGAAAGGCUUCCUUAAAGACAGCCACUUUGAUAACAACUUUAACUUCAAGUAUAUCGAGGUGGAUAAGGUUACAGAAAGGGAAAAGGUGACAACCUUCAGCGUCUUCAAUCCUUCCAAAGACAUCAUGUCCGACCUGAUUGGCUAUAGCCGACUCCCAGAUGACCAAUACCGUAAAGUGACCCAGCUGAAAGAUCUUCUAGAGAAAUGCCUGAUGUUGGACCCUAGUAAGAGAAUUCAGAUCAAGGAGGCACUACAACAUCCAUUCAUCCAGGAGAAGAUAUGAAGAAUGAAGGUUCGUGUCACGAAGCCAGUGGGGUGUGUGGAAAAAACUGAAGAUUUCAACAUUGGACUCUCCAAGUCAUCAACCUUGAAAUUCCUCUUGUGAUUUGCUUUCAAGCCAUGGUCAUAAGCUCUGCCAGGGCAAAUAGCUUUCAUGCAAGCGCCAAAAUCUUCCAAGCCAGGUCAAAUAGCUUCUGAAUCAAGGCCAUUAGCAUCCAAACAAGGCUCAGUUACAUCAAAGACAGGGCCAUUACAUGUAGCAUCAAAGCAAGGUCCGAUAGCGCCCAAGCCAGGGCCAUCAGCAUUGAAGAAAGGUCCGAUAGCGUCCAAGCCAGGACCAUCAGCAUCGAAGCAAGGUCCGAUAGCGUCCAAGCCAGGGCCAUUAGCAUCGAAGCAAGGUCCGAUAGCAUCCAAGCCAGGGCCAUCAGCAUCGAAGCAAGGUUCAAUAGCUUCUUAAUAAGCCAGUUGAAGAUGGAAGGCAGAAAGACCAGCAAUAAAGUUCAGCAAAUGGAGGCCAUUCUGUCUCCUUUGUGCUCAGGGCAGGGUAAAAAAUGUACUGCUUUUGUAGAUGAUGGUUAUUGUAAUGAUUUUAUCACGUAUGUUGGAACACCCAUUUCUAAAUAUUCUUUCAAUCUAAAAAAAAUACUAAAAACUUAUAUGCAGACUUUGCUCCCAUUAGAGUACUAUUUGGGGUUUAUAUGUGUUUCAUAAUUAAAAAUUAAAAACAUUGAGGUAGUUAACCCUCUUGCUGUCUGACUAUUCAAUACCAUUCACUGUGGUUUUAAAUGAUGAACUAUGCCAGCCUGCAAUAUGAUACCAUGAGGGAGUGGUAUACAGUUAGUUCUGUGCUCAGUGUUGCCAUCAUACGCAGCCUUGGCAGUCGAAUGGUUUCAAAUGGUUGGUCAACUCACUGGAAAAUGUUGCAAAGAGUCACUGAUGGUAGGAGGGUUAAAUGAAAUAUAUUUUUGUGUCAAUUUGGAAUAUGAUUUCUAAGGUCACUAGUUAAUUGUAUCGGAAAAAAGAAAAAAGUAGAUGGGGAUGAUAGAAUAUGGUAAGCAUUUGAGGAACCAAUCUCUACAUGUACAAAGCAGGCCUUGGUUUUUGUUACACUUGUAGGAAAUGUUGGAAUCUACCAAGGCUUUACCAAGGUACUAAGCAAAGGUGGAAUCUACCAAGGCUUUACCAAGGUACUAAGCAAAGGUGGAAUCUACCAAGGCUUUACCAAGGUACUAAGCAAAGGUGGAAUCUACCAAGGCUUUACCAAGGUACUAAGCAAAGGUGGAAUCUACCAAGGCUUUACCAAGGUACUAAGCAAAGGUGGAAUCUACCAAGGCUUUACCAAGGUACUAAGCAAAGGUGGAAUCUACCAAGGCUUUACCAAGGUACUAGGCAAAGGUGGAAUCUACCAAGGUACUAAGCAAAGGUGGAAUCUACCAAGGCUUUACCAAGGUACUAAGCAAAGGUGUGCAACAUCCAUGACAAUUAUCAAGGGUGUAAACUUGGGCUUGUUAAAAACUCUCUCCAUGUCAAGUAGACUAAUUUCCAAUCACUGUUUUUCUGUUGGAUAUCUCAGUGCUUGGUUUGUUGGUGAAAAGCCAAAAUAAAUUGUGUCUUCUUUGGGUAAAUUGAAUAAGCAUUUAUCAGACAAAACAAGUUAGAUUCAUGCCUGAAUUCUGAACUCAUCCAUGAGAAGACAUUAAUUUAAAUAUUUAAUUCCUUCUAAUGUGGAACGUUUUGGUGGUGUUUAUAUAUUUGCCCAGUAAUUACAGAGACUAGAGAAUUAUACACAGUUCAAACUGUUCAAUUUUUGCAGACCUUUGAAGCGAUGGUAAAAUGACAUGUUGUGAAUCAGAGAUAGGAUUGAGUGGCCAGAUAAGACAACAAAACGCCUGUUCUGGAGCCAGGUAGGCAAUAUACACAUUUUAUUUUUGUUUCCCGUCCAAGAAUUAACCCAAUUCAAAAUAGGAUGAAUGUGCUUUGAAUGAAUCGAAACCCCAUUCAAGAUUUCAACUAUUUCAAUGGAAGUGAUUUCCUCAACUUGCAUGACGACUAGACCUAGUACUGGCUCUUGCUGAACAAAAUCAUAGACUAGAUGCCUUGAUGUCCUCAAGCCGCCAUCUUGGAAGUAAACCAACGAUAAAACAAUGAAAAUGAACAGAUUUGUAUGCGCAGCGCACAUGAUUGGCUGAUAAACAACUUCCUUUUGACCUCUUGUUGAGGGCGCCCUACUCAAAUAGACCAUUUCUAUCUACUGGUCAAAAUUAUGACAAUUUGUCGUCGUCUAGAACAGCAUGCACCUUAUUCCACGGUUAACAUGUCUAUGUAGAAUUAAUCCAUGUGCAUGGGAUCUAUUGCCCAAGGACUGUUACAACUAGCCUGACCAGAUUCAAACUCUGUAAAAAAAAGUUGCCUUCAAAUAAUUCUUGACACUUUGGCACGUGAAGUUCCUUCAUAUUUAGCACCUGAAAAACUUGUAAAAAAUCAACUACAUUGUACAUGUAGGAGCCUACUCAUCACCUUUUUUGUUUGUUUUCAAAAUGAUUGUUUUUUGAUUUGUCAGGCUUUUUCGUACAAACUAGCAAUCUUGAAGCUUAAAAGGGAAACAUUCGUUGAGAGAUCAUGAAUCCUGGCACACCAAAUUGUUAAUUUUCAAGACAGCAUUAUUUACAUGGACAUGCAUAUGAUCAAUGCAUUUGUACUUUGGUUAUGCCAUGCCAUGCCAUGCAGGCUCAUUCCAAGACAAGUACCACUAUUCCACUAUGAUUAAUAAAGAAACUGGCCUCCCUCUCAUUGUGCUUCUUCAGAGGGAUUAUAGUUAAGAGUGGUCUUUAACUCAUAUUCAUAAAUACCCCAGACAGUUUCUCUACUCCUAAUGGUGGAGAGCGCGUCACGUGGGUGUGCAUAAACCUUUUGUUAAUGACCGGUUAAAAGUGUUAGUUCAUGGACGUGACAUGCGACCUUGCACCUGUUCUUAUAAGACAGUUUAUUCAUUCCUAUUGGUCGAGAACAACGGCUGAAACAGUUGU